AUUAAAAGUACAAGAGCAUAAUUAUUAAUUACUUUAAUUGACAAUUAAAUUAAUUGUUACGAUCGAUAGAAACUGAGAUUACAGCCCCUUUGAGAAUUAUCAGAUUGACUCAAAUAGUUCAAAUAUGGAGAGAAAAUUGAGUCAUUUUAGUCGACUAAAUGAGCCACAUGAUUAGUAAUGUUAGCCAGUUGCCCUCAUUUUGAAUUUCGCAUUAUGUUAAUGCAUCGUUUCAAUGAUACUUUUUAACGAUACCUAAAGGGUGAUAAAAAAAAGUGAUAAACAUUUGUGUCAAUUAAAAAAAUGAGUAACAGUGAGUGAUACUUUUUAACGAUACCUAAAGGGUGAUAAAAAAAGUGAUAAACAUUUGUGUCAAUUAAAAAAAUGAGUAACAGUGAAAGAUACAUAUCUUGUCGUAGGCUAAUGGCCAAAUCAAACAGUUUGCCAAAUACUAGGGGUCUAUAGGGAUAAAGUCAAUUAUCUUAUUUUAAAAAACUGAAACAAAGCACAUCUUGGCCGCAGAAUUUCAAAAUCGCCGUUCCUGUUUCAUUUUUUGUAAAAGGUGACUGAGCCAACAUCAUAGCAUGAAAUUUUCACAAAUUUUACUUCACUUAGAGAAACAAAUCACAAAAAUUUACAGGAAAUCCCGUUUAGUAUUUUUUCAUGUAGAAAAUGCAGUAUGACAGGCGGCCUGCAACACCGGAAAACCAAGAUAGGCAUCACUGCAGUUUCUGCAGUCAUCGAUAUGCAAUUAAAAAUUAUCACGUUAUAGGCCGUUCUAAAAUGGGUAGACUUGAGCACCCAUUUGAGGAAUGGUGCUAUUCUCUUUCGUUCCUCCUCUUGACAAUCGCUUAUUUUCAAGAGAAUUUGGCGCAAAAUAUGUCAACUCCUGGACCGAGAUGGGGUCCAACCGUUGACCCCAAUAGCCGCGUCUAUAGUCCCAUUAGAUCUGCAGAGGAAAUUGAGGAAUCACUCAGACACCACAUGCUUCUACCAUUUGUUAUCAGCUACGCUCCGAAACAAAUGCUAUGGGUAAGGAUUAGAUUGCCUAUUAAAUUAGGGGAAUUUUUAUCGUGUUGGAAGUUUCGAAUACUUGAGACAAAAGGAUGAAAGACAAAUCGGGGGGGGGGGGGGGGGUGUCAGAGAGUCUGGAUCCCUUGCCUACUCACUGAACAUGUUACCCCAGAGCAGCAGAACCUCAUUUUAACUUUAAGCUCUCAAUAGAGAUGUUGAACAAACCUCCCUCUCGAUCUAAUUGGGUGAAAAUUGUCCACAGUUGCUCUCUGAUCGGACGUUCCUGAUGUUGCACAGCUUAACUUCAGGAGAGAAAUCUUCCUCUAUGAAAAAUUGUUCACCUACAGUGAGAAUAAAAUAGCGUCACCCUGGCUGAUCGUAUAAUCGAUCAACAUGUGCCUUAAGACUAUAGUCCGUGCAAAGGUAUUAGAUAGAGUAAAAAUUCGGGCAUUUUCGGGCGAGCCGAGAAUUGCAACGUUGGAUCCCGGCGAGGAGCCGCUGGGUCAGCGCAGAGCUCACCGGGGUAUUGUUCCCAUUGUGUCCACCCCGGGCCUUUACCUGGCGGCCGGACCCUGGUCA
rnacentral:lncRNA from 1 species